rnacentral:lncRNA from 1 species
GAUAAUAUUGCAAAAUCCGGCAGCACGUCCUUUGAAACUAGCAUAACAAGGAGGGGAAACAUGUAGUUCAUACAGGAUAUAAAGACAGAUAAUUCACGUAGUAGAAUCUAAAUGCAAAAGUGGUAAAACACAUUCAUGACCCAACAAAAGCAAAAUAAAUGAGAUAAGGAACUCAGCCCACCCCAAAACAAACGCUCAACCAAGAACAAAGUAAUUCACUAGACUUGACCCUCUCUAAUUAACAACAUUAUUAAGUGGGGGUUCCUUUAUUAAAGGUGUAGUGGCCGUGCUGCUACAUCCCUCUUUUCCCAAAGCAGAAAUUAGGUGCCUGCAUCAAACAAUGCAAGAUGUGAGAUGACACAUCUCAGCAAGUAAACAUAACAACAACAAAUUGGACAUUGUAAAUCAACUGUGCUUAAACAACCACGUGGUUCAAAACUUCCUUUUUGAACAUUAAAUUGCAGCAAGUAAACAAGUAACUAAAUACUUAACGCCAAGAAGAAUCACCAUGCACAAGUCCAGAUUAUCCACAUCCACAUAAUAGAUUCCACACCUCUCCCAUGAAUGCACAUGGCUACAGAUGCAAUAAUGACUUCUGCCUCCAUAUCUCUAAGGAUAUGAAGCUGCAUCAUACCCCUUCUCGGGCAACAUAUGAUGCUCAAUGUACCGGUACGGUCGGACCAUAAGAUCGCGACGAAACUUCAAUGCAAUGGAUGAUGAGUGCAUUAUGCAUGACAACAUCAUGAGUUCUUCCCAAAUAAAAUGUGCUAGACAUAUACUUCCACCCAUUCCACAUAAUAACCACUUGAGUAACAUGAUCAAACCUCAAACUCAACAUAUGAAAUCCAUGAAACAUGAACAUUUUCAAAUGAUGGUACUCAAUAAAAAACAUAUGAAUAUGAACACAAUAGCACAACAUAAUCAAGUAUAAGACUCCUCAUUUGACAGACGGAAUAACCAUCACAGUUUUACUUGCCUUUACCGGAAGUUUGGGCAAAUCCAUAAGAACGAUCCGGAAGUCCACCACAUGUUUUUGACACCCAACUUAGUGUACCAAAUUCACAUAAAAAGCCUAAAAAAACAACGCCGCACCUACGCACAGUCUCAAACCCCGCCGCGGGUAAUAAUUCCCCCCCCCCACACCAACCAAACUGCAGCGGCGCUGCUUAACAAUUCCAUAACUUUAAAAUUAAGACAGCAGUGGUGACAACCAAAAACUCCAGAGACAACUACAUACAUUUCCCCACAAGUUUGGUAUACAAUUUAGGAUUAAAUUGUAACAUCUAAUUACCCCUAAACGGUCCACAAGACAACCCCUGCAAUCUGUUUUUUUCCUGAUUUGGGCAGCGACAUAUUCGAAUUCAAAAAGCGAUAACUUUUAAAAUAUAAUUCCGAAUCGAGUGCAUAAGUACUUGUUGGAAAGAUAACAUAAAGCCCUACAUGAUUCUCAUACUGAUUAACACUAAUUACUCCCGAAAAAUCCCCAGAAACUGCUAAUACUGCUGCUGUUUAUCCCCCUGAAAAUCUGUUUUUUUGGACAGCCACAUACCCGGAUUCAAACGGUGAUAACUUUUAAUUUAUAACUCCAAAUUGAGCACAUAAAUACUCGUUGGAAAGGUAUGCCAAAGUUCUACAUGAUUCCCAAACUGAUUCCCCUUAAUUCUCCACGAAAAAUGCCCAGAAAUCACUAAUUCUGCUGCUGUUCGUCCACCCCCUUAAAAUUCUGGACAACCCUUCUACCAAAUCGCACACGCAACAUCUAAACAAUUGGAUUGCCGCACAAAAUGAACAAGAGAUAAACACAAAAAUCACCUUGGGUUCUCCCCCUUUUCUUCCUCCCUUCCUCCCUCCACCGGAAACCGUUGAAGAUUUGCACCACGCGACGGAGAUCCGAGCGGCAACGAAUGGCACCUUGGGAGGAGGAGAUGGGGGCGGCUAGGGUUUGAUGUGUGGCUGCAAGUGCUUGAGAAAGGAGGAGAUGGGAGGGGGGGCGGCGGCCAAGAGGGUAGGGGAAUGGGGG